rnacentral:rRNA from 1 species
UGCUACCUGAUUCAGCGGCGGACGGGUGAGUAAUGCCUAGGAAUCUGCCCGAUAGUGGGGGACAACGUUUCGAAAGGAACGCUAAUACCGCAUACGUCCUACGGGAGAAAGUGGGGGAUCUUCGGACCUCACGCUAUCGGAUGAGCCUAGGUCGGAUUAGCUAGUUGGUGAGGUAAUGGCUCACCAAGGCGACGAUCCGUAACUGGUCUGAGAGGAUGAUCAGUCACACUGGAACUGAGACACGGUCCAGACUCCUACGGGAGGCAGCAGUGGGGAAUAUUGGACAAUGGGCGAAAGCCUGAUCCAGCCAUGCCGCGUGUGUGAAGAAGGUCUUCGGAUUGUAAAGCACUUUAAGUUGGGAGGAAGGGCAGUAAGCUAAUACCUUGCUGUUUUGACGUUACCAACAGAAUAAGCACCGGCUAACUCUGUGCCAGCAGCCGCGGUAAUACAGAGGGUGCAAGCGUUAAUCGGAAUUACUGGGCGUAAAGCGCGCGUAGGUGGUUCAGCAAGUUGGAUGUGAAAUCCCCGGGCUCAACCUGGGAACUGCAUCCAAAACUACUGAGCUAGAGUACAGUAGAGGGUGGUGGAAUUUCCUGUGUA